CAAAUUUGUACUCCUUUCCAUAUUUUAAAUCGUUUCACGUUUCACUAAAUUUAGGCUGGCUGCGAAUUAUCACUUUAUAGUUAUGACUUUAACUGUUUGUUAAGUAUUUUUAAGAGACAGAAUGGCAAAGUAACAAGUUGUCAAGGACUUCCAGGACUUCCAGGCAGAGAUGGGCGUGAUGGCAGAGAUGCUUCAUUGCGUGGUCCUCGUGGUAAGCAGGGAAAACCUGGUCCAGCUGGUCCACCAGGACCUAAAAGUAAAGCCACGUCAACCGGUGGAGUGGUCUAUACCAGAUGGGGAAGAAAACAUUGUCCUAAAACAACGAAAACUGUUGAGAUUUAUUCUGGUAAGAAAAUCUACGUAAUUGCGAUUCAUGAUUUAGCUACAACCAGUAUAGGUUUAAACAAGUAAAAUAAGCAUGUAUGAGCGAUA